rnacentral:rRNA from 1 species
UACGGAGGGUGCAAGCGUUAAUCGGAAUUAUUGGGCGUAAAGAGCUCGUAGGCGGUUUGUCGCGUCUGCUGUGAAAACUCGGGGCUUAACUCCGGGCCUGCAGUGGGUACGGGCAGACUAGAGUGCGGUAGGGGAGACUGGAAUUCCUGGUGUAGCGGUGAAAUGCGCAGAUAUCAGGAGGAACACCGGUGGCGAAGGCGGGUCUCUGGGCCGUAACUGACGCUGAGGAGCGAAAGCGUGGGGAGCGAACAGG